rnacentral:rRNA from 1 species
UACGUAGGGUGCGAGCGUUACUCGGAAUUACUGGGCGUAAAGCGCGCGCAGGCGGUUUUGUAAGCCAGAUGUGAAAUCCCCGGGCUCAACCUGGGAAUGGCAUUUGGGACUGUAAGGCUGGAGUAUGGCAGAGGGGACUAGAAUUCCUGGUGUAGCAGUGAAAUGCGUAGAUAUCAGGAGGAAUACCGAUGGCGAAGGCAGGUCCCUGGGCCAAUACUGACGCUCAUGCACGA